rnacentral:rRNA from 1 species
GGAUGCGAUCAUACCAGCACUAAAGCACCGGAUCCCAUCAAAACUCCAAAGUUAAGCGUGCUUGGGCGAGAGUAGUACUAGGAUGGGUGACCUCUUGGGAAGUCCUCGUGUUGCAUUCC